rnacentral:rRNA from 1 species
AAUAUUGCACAAUGGGCGCAAGCCUGAUGCAGCCAUGCCGCGUGUAUGAAGAAGGCCUUCGGGUUGUAAAGUACUUUCAGCAGUGAGGAAGGUGGAUAUGUUAAUAGCAUAUUCAUUUGACGUUAGCUGCAGAAGAAGCACCGGCUAACUCCGUGCCAGCAGCCGCGGUAAUACGGAGGGUGCGAGCGUUAAUCGGAAUUACUGGGCGUAAAGCGCAUGCAGGUGGUUUGUUAAGUCAGAUGUGAAAGCCCGGGGCUCAACCUCGGAAUUGCAUUUAGAAACUGGACAAACUAGAGUACUGUAGAGGGGGUAGAAUUUCAGGUGUAGCGGUGAAAUGCGUAGAGAUCUGAAGGAAUACCGGUGGCGAAGGCGGCCCCCUGGACAGAUACUGACACUCAGAUGCGAAAGCGUGGGGAGCAAACAGGAUUAGAUACCCUGGUAG